rnacentral:rRNA from 1 species
UACGUAGGUGACCAGCGUUGUCCGGAUUUACUGGGCGUAAAGAGCGCGCAGGCGGUCGUUCAAGUCGAGUGUGAAAGCCCCCGGCUCAACUGGGGAGGGUCACUCGAUACUGAUCGACUUGAAGGCAGGAGAGGGAAGCGGAAUUCCCGGUGUAGUGGUGAAAUGCGUAGAUAUCGGGAGGAACACCAGUGGCGAAGGCGGCUUCCUGGCCUGUUCUUGACGCUGGGGCGCGAAAGCUAGGGGAGCAAACAGG